rnacentral:rRNA from 1 species
UACGAAGGGGGCUAGCGUUGUUCGGAAUUACUGGGCGUAAAGGGCGCGUAGGCUGUGCUGUAAGUCAGGCGUGAAAGCCCCGGGCUCAACCUGGGAAUUGCGCUUGAUACUGCGGCGCUGGAAGGUGGGAGAGGAUGGCGGAAUUCCCAGUGUAGAGGUAAAAUUCGUAGAUAUUGGGAAGAACACCGGUGGCGAAGGCGGCCAUCUGGCCCAUUUUUGACGCUGAGGCGCGAAAGCGUGGGGAGCAAACAGG